rnacentral:lncRNA from 1 species
AAAAAGUCUGAAGAAACUACUCAUUUUCUUCUUUUGUGAAGAACUAAGCAAAGAAAUUGUGAUGACAUUAUUUGAUGAGAACACCCUUACAAAGAAGACAGAGAUGUCUCCAUAUACACAAAAUGAGCAUUUUGUUAUGUUACUAAGUAGAGGCUGUACAGAAGGUCUGCCAGUAGCUGACAAAGUGGAAAGGUGUGCUUUUCUCUUUCAUUCUUGUGAAGUUAGAGGUAUUGCCAAUUUAAACUGUGACUGAGGCUCUGCAAUGAAGUCUAUCUUACUAUUUCAAAUUCAGUGAUGCUACCUGAGUCUACGUUAAUUAACUUUCAGGGAUUCAACCAAUUUAAAGCUUUUGGACAAUGACAAUUAUUUGAAAACAUUCCUACAGCUUUAUUUUCUUCAUUUACAUUUGUUUGUUAUCUCCACCUCAUUCAAAGCAGACAGGACUGGUUUGCUUCUCUCUUCUCUGGAAAUUUGCACUGGGAACCAUUGUUAAAAUCAGAAUCCUGAUCGAAGAGUAUGAUGAAAAACAUUGCAUUCCAAGUUGGAAAUUGGAGAGGAAAAUAUUCAUUUAUAUGUCAGAAUUGUACUCAGCUGAUUAAACCUUUUCUUACACUUCAACAGAUACUUACACCUUUUCAGGGAAAACUUUAAACCUGAGAAGCAACAGGUAGUUUCUACGUUUCCCUUGGGGAUAGUGUACUCUUCUGUAUUUUGCUUCUAUAGAAACAGUUCAAAAUUUUAAAGUCAUUUUGUCAGUCAUACAACCAAACAAUUUUGCAUGGCAUUGUAUGCUUCUCCCUCCAUGUUCCCCCUGUCCCUUCCCCCCCCCCCCCCCCCCAGACAGAUCAAGCCCUGAAUGCAAGACAAGUUAAUAAUGCCAACGUGUAAAACUAACUUGUAAAUACUUGUAAAAAUCAGUUGUGCCAGACUAAUAUGUGGUUGUAUCUGAGCUUGGAGACUGCAACCAUCUUCAGACUUCCAGAUCUAGAGGAACACUUUGGCUGUAGCCUAAAAGCCACGCGUACAUAAGCUCCUCCAAGGCAGCCAUUCUUCCCAUGACCUGCCAGGAAAGAGCAAUGUAGGCAUGUAACCAAACUAAAGCCAAAACUUCCAGCCCAGUCCUUGACCUGAAUAGUGAGUGAGGAUCUGGAUCCUGGCAUUUAUAUGUGAUAAUUUAUAUAUAGCCAAAGUAAAUACUGUAGUCAGAGGUCAUGGGGCUAGAUUUUGAACAGUCCUACGUAAACAAGAGAUCU